ACCCGGCACGGACGUCGCCCAGCGGGAGCGGACAUGGCGCUUCCCCCCCCCCACGCUCCUUCCACACACACACACCCCCCCCCCCCCGCCGCUCCCGCCGUUGCGCCGAGGCCCGGCAGCGGGGCGGGGGCGGCGGGCACGGCACGGCACGGCACGGCACGGCGGGGGCCGCCACCUGCCGCCCCCGGGGCUCCCCGCGCCGCGCCGCCCUCCGGGGCGGGGGGGGGGUGGUGGGUAAGCGGCCGCCUUACCCGGCCGGGCAGCCGGGGGCGAGCGGCGGGCUGUGCCGGUGCCUGGCGCCGCGGCGGGCGGCCCGGCCCGUCCUGAGCCCCGGUUCUCGGAGAAACACGACACGCCGGGCAGGGACGUUUUUCCACGCGGACGGUGGCUGCUUCCAUGCGGAGCGAGGGGGAUUCGUGGAUCGAGAAGAACAAGCCGGGAACCCAGUUCUAAAGCGUUUUGCAGACCAAGCCAUGGCGCGCACAGUUUUAAGGGAUUCUUAUUUUCUAAGUAGCACUAUGAGCUAUGCACUUCAAUUUUUUUUUUAAUAUACCUAUAGGAAACAAAAUUAUCUCAGAGAGACACCCUUGCUCUCUGACAUGCAGCUGGAAAUAAAGAAAAUUGGGAACUCACACAUUAGUCAUGAGAUCCGAUUUAAACCAUCUUCAUUUCUGCCAUCACAGAUUAGCAUAGGAUACUAUUUCUAAGCUACUGACAGUGCUAAAGAGCUGUCUUUGUUUUCUUUAAGUACUCAGCAAUAUGAAAUUUGGGUUUUAAUUUCAUUCCUAUCGCAACAAUUCCUGAGUAUGUUGAGAUGGCAAAUAGCGGACAAAUAAAGUUAGUAAUUAGUA